rnacentral:rRNA from 1 species
GAUGAACGCUGGCGGCGUGCCUAAUACAUGCAAGUCGAGCGAACGGACGAGAAGCUUGCUUCUCUGAUGUUAGCGGCGGACGUGUGAGUAACACGUGGAUAACCUACCUAUAAGACUGGGAUAACUUCGGGACACCGGAGCUUAUACCGGAUAAUCUUUUGAACCGCAUGGUUCAAAAGUGAAAGACGGUCUUUCUGUCACUUAUAGAUGGAUCCGCGCUGCAUUAGCUAGUUGGUACGGUAACGGCAUACCAAGGCUACGAUGCAUAGCCGACCUGAGAGGCUGAUCGGCCACACUGGAACGGAGACAGGGACCAGACUACUACGGGAGGCAGCAGUAGGGAAUCUUCCGCAAUGGGCGAAAACCUGACGGAGCAACGCCGCGCGAGUGAUGAAGGUCUUGGGAUCGUAAAACUCUGUUAUUAGGGAAGAACAGAUGUCUAAGUAGCUGUGCACAUCUUGACGGUACCUAAUCAGAAAGCCACGGCUAACUACGUG